AGAUUGGUUUAGUAUUUUCUUAUUCGGAAUUCCUAAUCCUAAUACUUGUUGGACUAGUUGUUGUACCAUAAAUAUAUAUGUCAUAUAGGUACUUUGCUAGAGAUCUUUUUAUCAUUUUUAAGGUAAUAGAAAAUGGCAAUCAUAUUUCUUUUCCUCAUUAAGAUAUUGAUGUAGAACCAAUAACACUCAAAAAGGAAAAAUUUAAAUAAACUCUCAAAUUUGAUAAAUUCACUAUUGUCAAUAAUAAUAAACUCUCUUAAGAAAAUACCUAAUUUACAUAGGUACUUAUAGGGCUGGCAAUUUGUGUUUGUUGGUCAUAAACAAGUCAUGUCAACCUACACGUAUAACAUAUAAUAUGAAAAUGUUUAACCUAAACAUGAUCUAUUUAAUUAAUAAUUAAUCGUGUCAAAAUAUUCAACCUUAAUACGGAUAUGGUCAGUGUUAUUAAAGGCGAGAAAAG
rnacentral:misc_RNA from 1 species